rnacentral:lncRNA from 1 species
AGUCAAGCAAGCUUCAGAGAUGUAUUAACUUGCAGCCGAAAAAAUUGACUCAAUUAAUAACAAAUCUGCACAGGAAAUCGAGCAGUAUCCAUCCAUUCUUGAGAGGGAGAUGCAGAUGCACAUUAAACAACUCCAAUUAAUGUUGGUUUUGAAGAAGAGAAGAAGAUGAGGCCUCUCGAGGCGAGUCGACAACUCGAAGCAACACAAUCCAAGAAGGAUCUAACUUUCUACUUUGCAUCCGAGGGAAAUCACCUGAAUUUAUUGAAGAUCUGCACAAGGAACUGAAGAUCGGCUACCAAUUGAUGAGGUUGGGAGGUAGAUUGAAAUCGCUACCAAUUGAUGAGGUUGGGAGGCAGAUUGAAAUCAUUCCCACAUAGUUAAUGCUGGUUUUAAGCUCCAGAGGAAGGAUUAGGUUUAAUAUGGAGUUAAUAUGAAAGAGAAAAAACCGGCGGCGUUGAAAAGUGAAGAGAGCUGAGAAGAAGAGGAGUAGGUGAGAGGAUGGAGUUAAGAGGGAUUUGAGGAGGAAGAAGAAGGCUUCAGCAGGGGAAAGAGACGACAAUGGCAUAGAAUGGGUAGGUGAGUUGGUGGAGAGGAGAGUAAAGUUGCUCGGGUUUCGAGAAAAUUUAUUUUUUACUACAUCUACCCCUGCAAUUCUCGAGAUUUAAUCCUUAUUCGAGGGGUGAGGAUGAAUAAAAUUAACGGGUUAUUCCAUGAUAUUCUG